UAUACCGUGUUCCAACCGCUAUCUGAUAGCAUACUUACUUCUCCAAUAAGUUUUAUAUUUACUGCUGCGGUAAUUUUGAUGAUGUAGAGCUUUGCUUGUCAUGUUAUGUAAGCCCCACUUUUUGCAGUCCGACCUGAAGUCACGUUGGCUUCAUGACCGACACCCAGAGGAAGGGGAGCAGGAAAACUACAGAAAAUGUGGGAUGCUAGCGGCACAUGUUCUUAAUGAAAUCAUACAGACAGGAGUGAGUGCAGAGCAAGUUCAAAUUCUCCUUCUAUUGUCGGAUUAUUCAUUUGAAGACGAAGUGAAGAAAGCAAUGGCCACUCUCAAUGUAAACAUUCGACGUGUUGAAGAUUCGAGGUCACUCGAAUGGGAGAGAGUAAUGGUUGUGAUGGGAAGAGGCAAUUUAUGAUUCUGAACUGUAUCUUGCAUGCACGCGGGCAAGAUCGGAACUACACCUUGUGACGGCCACUGGCGGUACAGUUGCGGAUACAGUAGGGACGGGAG